rnacentral:rRNA from 1 species
UUCCGGUUGAUCCUGCCAGACCUGACUGCUAUCGGAUUGAUACUAAGCCAUGCGAGUCUUUGUAGUAAUACAAGGCAGACGGCUCAGUAACACGUAGUCAACCUACCCUAUGGACGAGAAUAAUCUCGGGAAACUGAGCAUAAUUCUUGAUAGAUCAUAAUGCCUGGAAUGGUUUAUGGUUAAAAUGAUUCGUCGCCAUAGGAUGGGACUGCGGCCUAUCAGCUUGUUGGUGAGGUAAUGGCCCACCAAGGCGAUUACAGGUACGGGCUCUGAGAGGAGAAGCCCGGAGAUGGGUACUGAGACACGGACCCAGGCCCUAUGGGGCGCAGCAGGCGAGAAAACUUUGCAAUGUGCGAAAGCACGACAAGGUUAAUCCGAGUGAUUUCUGCUAAAGAAAUCUUUUGCCAGUCGUAAAACCGCUGGUGAAUAAGGGGUGGGCAAGUUCUGGUGCCAGCAGCCGCGGU